AAGUCGUAACAAGGUUUCCGUAGGUGAACCUGCGGAAGGAUCAUUAACACGUCCACACGUAUCAACCCUCGUGAAUCUGUUUAGUCGAUCCUGAAAUUGGGAGCUGAUGAACGUUUGAAACUGUUACGAUUGGGGAAAAUGCUCUUCCGAUUUUGAAGGUUUUGAAUCUUCGAUAUCGGCUCUGGGUACUUUUUCGACAGUUUGUUUAUCACUAUGGCUCUCAGUUUCACUCUAAAAGGAUCGUUUACCCUUUAACAUGCUCCAAUUCGUCAUGGAAUUCUCUUAAACCCCUUGUACAAUAUGUACUGAAUCUCUUCUUUUUUACUGAGCCUUCGUCCUCGGAUGAAAACUCUAAAAAAGAAAAUACGAAACAAAAGAACAACUCUUAGCAACGGAUAUCUUGGUUUCCA
rnacentral:misc_RNA from 1 species